UGGGAGCUGUAGUUCCGCCGGGCCCCGCGCCGCGUCCCCGGCUCUGAGUGGAGGAGCGGAAAGGGAGCGUGCGCGGAGUCACGCUUCUGGCUGCGACGCAACCGCCGCUGGGCGGUGAGUUGCCGCCAACCGCCCUAACGGCCGAAACAAUGUUAAUGGCUUUUAGAGUCUGGCGGCGCGUUCCCAUUAGCAUCUUCCUAUGACCCUUCCUCGUUUACACGGAGGAGGUGGUCUCCACAGUGACUUUUAAAUUUAAUAUUUCUCUCAUAACCUUUUUCAGUUUUCCACAAUAUUUGGGAAGAUUUACAAGGUAUACUUCAUUUAGGCAAAAAUAACUUAGGGAAUAGUCAUUGUCAAGAGCAAUUUGUAUUGCAACCCACAAGAUAUACUUCUAUGUCAGUCCAGAAAUCCUUCAAUUUACUAAGAGAUUAUGUUUGAAAAGCUUAGAAAAAAAUAAACAAUUCUGAAAAACGAAGUAGACUGCUGGUGAUUACAGUGGGUACCACACAGAUUAUCACUUAGUGGUUCCAUAUGCUCCAUCCCAUUCCAGUGAUGUUCCAAUUUUUGCCUUCACAGCUGAGGAUAAGGAUUUGGAAAUACUUGGUAAAUCAAGAGACAUCUUAGAACCGGUACCACUUGGAGGCCAUGAUGAAAAAUAAGGAUCUUCCACUAAAGGAAAUUUUUAGUGCAGCCCUAUGCACAUCUGAUGCUCUCAAUUUAGUUGUGACAAUGGAUAAAUCCUGCAACAAAUCUGACAUCCCUUGACCAAAAGCAAUUCUAAUACAGCAUUGUAGACCAGUUCAUAUUGUUCCUGAAGAGCAUCACAACCCAGAACAAAUGAAAACAAAAAGAAAAAAAAUGGUGAACUGCAGGACCAGAUUUUAGGAAUUUGAACACCAAUCAAAUCCUAAUAUAGCAGACCCAAAAGGACAAUCAGCAUGUUAUUAAACUUACUAACAAUGCCUUAUGCUUGCAUAGUUCACUUCAGAUUUCAAAGCACUUUUAUGCUGCUGAAAAUAGCUAUUUGAUACACCUGUAACUAAUGUACAAGAAUCUUAUGACUUGUUUCUUUUAUGUUCUAACCCUACUUUCUUAUCUUUCUCUCCAUCAUUCCUCUAAUUCUGUUUCCUUUGCUCAUAUUUUAAAAAAAAUGUAUUUCAUUCUA